rnacentral:snRNA from 1 species
GUGCUUGCUUUGGUGGUAUAUAUACUAAAAUUAGAAUGAUACAGAGAAGAUUAGCACGGUUCCUGCACAAGGAUGACACCAAAUUUGUGAAGCAUUUCU